AUUGAACGCUGGCGGAAUGCUUUACACAUGCAAGUCGAGCGGGGGAAGGUAGCUUGCUACCGGACCUAGCGGCGGACGGGUGAGUAAUGCUUAGGAAUCUGCCUAUUAGUGGGGGACAACAUCUCGAAAGGGAUGCUAAUACCGCAUACGUCCUACGGGAGAAAGCAGGGGAUCGUCGGACCUUGCGCUAAUAGAUGAGCCUAAGUCGGAUUAGCUAGUUGGUGGGGUAAAGGCCUACCAAGGCGACGAUCUGUAGCGGGUCUGAGAGGAUGAUCCGCCACACUGGGACUGAGACACGGCCCAGACUCCUACGGGAGGCAGCAGUGGGGAAUAUUGGACAAUGGGGGGAACCCUGAUCCAGCCAUGCCGCGUGUGUGAAGAAGGCCUUAUGGUUGUAAAGCACUUUAAGCGAGGAGGAGGCUACUUUAGUUAAUACCUAGAGAUAGUGGACGUUACUCGCAGAAUAAGCACCGGCUAACUCUGUGCCAGCCGCCGCCGUAA
rnacentral:rRNA from 1 species